UGUGCCAGCAGCCGCGGUAAUACGUAGGGUGCGAGCGUUGUCCGGAAUUACUGGGCGUAAAGGGCUCGUAGGUGGUUUGUCGCGUCGUCUGUGAAAUUCCGGGGCUUAACUCCGGGCGUGCAGGCGAUACGGGCAUAACUUGAGUACUGUAGGGGUAACUGGAAUUCCUGGUGUAGCGGUGAAAUGCGCAGAUAUCAGGAGGGACACCGAUGGCGAAGGCAGGUUACUGGGCAGUUACUGACGCUGAGGAGCGAAAGCAUGGGUAGCGAACAGGAUU
rnacentral:rRNA from 1 species